rnacentral:tRNA from 1 species
AUUUAAAUAGUUUAAAAAAAACAUUGAUUUGUGAUAUCAAAAUUAUAUAAUUAUUUUAAAUU